AAAUCGCGGCCAGCCCAAGGUGCCCCGGCGCGAUUUCCUCGUGCCGGGGUGAAACGGGAAAGAGGUGCGGUCCGAAAGAUAGGGGCCAAAUCCUCUGCUGCCCCCGCAACGGUAGGUGUGCGCGGGCGCAUUACUCAUCGUCGGUGCUCAACCGACAGGCCACUGUGAGUUUGGUGUGGCGGCAGUUCUGACCGGAGAUCGGAACGACGCUGACACGGGUGGAUUCAGCAAGGGGCAUCGCCACCUUGUUGGACCGCCGGCUCAUGGGAAGGCGAUGCGCCUGAUCCCACAAGCCCGGAGACCGGCCUCGGGCCCGUGGUUCGG
rnacentral:ncRNA from 2 species